rnacentral:tRNA from 1 species
CCUUCGAUAGCUCAGUUGGUAGAGCGGGGGACUGUAGAUUUAUAAUUGUGAUCCCUAGGUCGCUGGUUCGAAUACGGCUCGAAGGA